rnacentral:ncRNA from 1 species
AACGAAGUGAACUGAAACAUCUAAGUAACUUUAGGAAAAGAAAUCAACCGAGAUUCCGUGAGUAGUGGUGAGCGAAAAUGGA